rnacentral:rRNA from 1 species
GAGCGCAUUAUGAUAGCUUGCUCUCAUAGGUCAGCGGCGGACGGGUGAGUACACGUGGGCAAUCUGCCUGUCAGACUGGAAUAACGCCUGGAAACGGGUGCUAAUGCCGGAUAAUAAGCUUUGGGACAUCCCGAGGUUUUGAAAGGUGCUACGGCACUACUGAUAGGGGAGCCCGCGGCGCAUUAGCUAGUUGGUGGGGUAGAGGCCUACCAAGGCGACGAUGCGUAGCCGACCUGAGAGGGUGACCGGCCACACUGGGACUGAGAUACGGCCCAGACUCCUACGGGAGGCAGCAGUAGGGAAUCUUCCGCAAUGGGCGAAAGCCUGACGGAGCAACGCCGCGUGAGCGAGGAAGGUCUUCGGAUUGUAAAGCUCAGUCACCCGGGAAGAGUGGAUGGAAGAGGGAAUGCUUCUAUCGAGACGGUACCGGGAGAGGAAGCCCCGGCUAACUACGUGCCAGCAGCCGCGGUAAU